AAGUCGUAACAAGGUUUCCGUAGGUGAACCUGCGGAAGGAUCAUUAACACGUAUCCAACGUUAUACCCCCUGUGAACUUUCAUACAGUCGCACCUCAGCUUCUCUUUGAGAAGGCCCUGUGGAUUUGCUGGGACAGCACGUACAGCAAACUAGGUGCUUGGGUCUUAGAACCCCCAAAAUAGGAACCCCACAGUUUCGUAGCCAGGUCGCGGUAACUCGCAGACCUUAAAAAAAAACCGAACAACUGUUAACAAUGGAUAUCUUGGUUCUC
rnacentral:misc_RNA from 1 species